GAUUGCCUUGCUCAAAUCACAACCCAGUCAUUCUCACACAGCUUCACUUAAUCAAGUGCAUUCCCUCAGUCAUUCUGAAUCUGACAUGUCAAAAAUAUCUGGACCUUUUAACUUGGAAAACGACUGGAAUGGGUGAAGUGAGGAAUGGCUUGUAUCACCUACUGAGGAAUGAAGUCUCCCCUACAGCUUUAGUUGAAGUCCUAUCCUCUCUAACCACCAACACUGUCAUUUCUGCUUCUGUCAUCAACAACCAUGAAGGUUUCAGUCUAUGGCACUAUAGACUUGGGCACCUCUCAGAUUCUAGGAUGAACUUGAUUAGCAAAAAUGAAAUUUCUGAUUUUGAUGUUGCUACCAUACCCUGCUCAGUUUGCCCUUUAGCAAAAUUACACAAACUACCUUUUCCUACUAGCCAUCAUAAAUCAGAAAAAUGUUUUGAUUUAGUCUA